GAUGGUACUAUUUGAUUUUGGAUUCUAUCAGAUUCUAUCUGAUCUUGGAAGCUAAGGAGAUGCAGUCCUAGUUAGUACUUGAAUAGGAAACUAUUAAGGAAAACCAGAUGUUGUCGACU
rnacentral:rRNA from 11 species